GAUGAACGCUGGCGGCGUGCCUAAUACAUGCAAGUCGAGCGAACGGACGAGAAGCUUGCUUUUCUGAUGUUAGCGGCGGACGGGUGAGUAACACGUGGAUAACCUACCUAUAAGACUGGGAUAACUUCGGGAAACCGGAGCUAAUACCGGAUAAUAUUUUGAACCGCAUGGUUCAAAAGUGAAAGACGGUCUUGCUGUCACUUAUAGAUGGAUCCGCGCUGCAUUAGCUAGUUGGUAAGGUAACGGCUUACCAAGGCAACGAUGCAUAGCCGACCUGAGAGGGUGAUCGGCCACACUGGAACUGAGACACGGUCCAGACUCCUACGGGAGGCAGCAGUAGGGAAUCUUCCGCAAUGGGCGAAAGCCUGACGGAGCAACGCCGCGUGAGUGAUGAAGGUCUUCGGAUCGUAAAACUCUGUUAUUAGUGAAGAACAUAUGUGUAAGUAACUGUGCACAGCUUGACGGUACCUAAUCAGAAAGCCACGGCUAACUACGUG
rnacentral:rRNA from 1 species